rnacentral:rRNA from 1 species
UGGGGAAUUUUGGACAAUGGGCGAAAGCCUGAUCCAGCAAUGCCGCGUGUGUGAAGAAGGCCUUCGGGUUGUAAAGCACUUUUGUCCGGAAAGAAAUCCUUGGCUCUAAUACAGUCGGGGGAUGACGGUACCGGAAGAAUAAGCACCGGCUAACUACGUGCCAGCAGCCGCGGUAAUACGUAGGGUGCAAGCGUUAAUCGGAAUUACUGGGCGUAAAGCGUGCGCAGGCGGUUUGCUAAGACCGAUGUGAAAUCCCCGGGCUCAACCUGGGAACUGCAUUGGUGACUGGCAGGCUAGAGUAUGGCAGAGGGGGGUAGAAUUCCACGUGUAGCAGUGAAAUGCGUAGAGAUGUGGAGGAAUACCGAUGGCGAAGGCAGCCCCCUGGGCCAAUACUGACGCUCAUGCACGAAAGCGUGGGGAGCAAAACAGGAUUAGAUACCCUGGUAGUCCACGCCCUAAAACGAUGUCAACUAGUUGUUGGGGAUUCAUUUCCUUAGUAACGUACUAACGCGUGAAGUUGACCGCUGGGGAGUACGGUCGCAAGAUUAAAACUCAAAGGAAUUGACGGGGUCAUAGCUGUUUCCU